GUUGAUCCUGCCAGUAUUAUAUGCUGAUGUUAAAGAUUAAGCCAUGCAUGUGUAAGUUAAAAGUCCUUGAAUGAUGAAACUGCAGACGGCUCAUUAUAACAGUUAUAAUUACCAAGAUCAGUACGCACAAGGAUAUCAGCACGAAGCGAGCUGUUAAUACUUGAGGCGAUCCGGGGUGUAGUAAUACAUUCUGGCCAGGGGGCAACCUCUGUGAUCGACCCUUUAUAGUGAAUUAAGGGGCCGCGACAAUUGUAGAACACACAGUGUUUCACAAGUGAUCUUUGGGAAUUUCUGAUCUAUCAAUUAGUUGGUAGUAUCGAGGACUACCAAGAUUAUCACGGAUAACGAGGAAUUGGGGUUCGACAUCGGAGAGGGAGCCUUAAAUAUGGCUACCACUUCUAAGGAAGGCAGCAGGCGCGCAAAUUACCCACUUCCGACUCGGAGAGGUAGUGACGGCAAAUAACUCUUGACUGACAUUUGUUAGUCUCGAAGGAAUGAUUAAGAAGUAAAUUCUCUUAAGAAAUCAAUUGGAGGGCAAGUCUGGUGCCAGCAGCCGCGGUAAUUCCAGCUCCAAUAGUG
rnacentral:rRNA from 1 species